AAUUUGGAACUUCAAAGAGAAAGGCUGAAGAAAUUCAUGAGCAUGGUAAUAAGAAACCAAAACCUGAAGGGGAACAAGUAAAUAUGGGACGUUUAAAGAACAGUACCGCAGUAAGAAUGGAGGUUGUAGUUCCAAGACAAGACCAGUCAAAUCAACAUAAUGAGGAUAAGCUGGAGUUCUCAAGAUGCUCAAAAAAAUUUGGAACUUCAAAGAGAAAGGCUGAAGAAAUUCAUGAGCAUGGUAAUAAGAAACCAAAACCUGAAGGGGAACAAGUAAAUAUUGGACGUUUAAAGAACAGUACCGCUGUGUAGAAUCCUGGACUUUUGAGCAGAAACUUGGGGAGGCUGUAUUUAUUCCUGCUGGAUGCCCACAUCAAGUGAGGAACCUCAAGUCAUGCAUAAAAGUUGCUGUAGACUUCGUGUCCCCAGAAAAUGUUCAUGAGUGUCUGCGUUUAACUAAUGAGUUUCGUCAUCUUCCCAACAACCACAAGGCUAGAGAAGAUAAACUUGAGAUAGAGAAGAUGAUAGUAUAUGCCGUUGAUCAAGCUGUCAAAGACUUUCAAGUUUUUCUGGUGGCUGAUACUAUCAGUUGCUGUGAAUAGUUACAAUAUGCAGAUGGAAAAUUUUGUUAAUCUAGAGCGUCUGAUUGGAGUAUUUAAUUGCACUCGCAAUGGAGUGAUUCUUUUCUCAUUCUUUUUAUAAUAAUAGAGUGGUUGGAUUUGUUGCAUUUGCAUUUUAUAAGACAAUUUUGGUAAUAAUAGAGUUAUUACUUUUGUUACAUUUACAUUUUAGCUAACAAUUUCUCAAAGUUUUCUAACCAAAAUAGACAAAAAAUUAAAAAAAAAAGUAUUGCUAAACAAUUGUUGUUUUCUCGGCCAAAAGAUCAUACGGGUAUUAAAUCAGACAAUAUCAAAUUUUUUUUUUCUUUCAAAAGUGUACAAGAUUUGAGAUACAGCUUAUGAAAGAUUUUGAGACACCGUGUGAAUGCUUAGUAUCGACUAGUGUUGAUCAAUUUAAUCUAAUUUGAAAUUCUUUUGGUUUGGUAAUGUAAUCUGUAGGGACAACGAUCAAAAUAUCAUACUGUUCACAGAAACUUACCAUAAUGCCACACUUGGAAUUUUUUUUUCCCAAAUCUAAAAUGUUGUUUUAAUACAGAAGAGCUCUCCAAUCCUUCAGCAUCUUUGUACUUCGCAGGUUGGGGGAAAUUGCAAUUUUAGGCUAAAUUGUCACGUGUUAGCAUUGAGAUAUGUGAGAGAUUACAUCAUGCAUAUUUUGCUAAUAGAAAUGAUAUUAUUUUCAUGUGCUCGUUAGAAACAUUCCACCAGAUCAUGAUGAAUCUGUAAGUGAGCUUGUGGAGCAAUUUUUUCUUGUCAAUCAUCCAGAUAACUAUCUUACUCACCAGGUUGUUUAUGAUGCAAACAGACUAGCAAAGGUUGUUAAAAAGAAGAAGAAGUUGCAGAAUUGGAUUGUCUAUUAUCAAAAUAAACUUGAACGAACUUCAAAAGGACCUGAAAUGAAGACUGGUUUCCUUGGUCUUCGUGGAAAGAAAGUGGAUGCUAUUGAUUAUUAAACCACUGAAAUUGACAAGCUUGCAAAAGAAGAAGACGUGCAUUCUUUCUAGAAGGGGGAGAAAAUGGCUACAUUUCAAGAUAUUGGGGUUGCAGCUGCCAUAAACAUUUUGAGCGCAUUUAUUUUCUCUGUGGCAUUUGCUAUUUUGAGGCUUCAACCUUUCAAUGAUCGGUGCGAGCCUACUGAGCAUUCCGGGUUGUGACUUAUAUUGGAGUUUUAUUGGUGUGAAAGUGAUUUGGGUUUCAUAUGCAGAAGUAGGAGUGCUGCAAGCUGAGAAGUGUUUGGUUUAUUUCUAUAAUCGAGACGCAAGUGAGAAUCAGAAUUUAAGGACAGACGCAUCAUGCAAAUGGUUUUUUGGAUAUGCACAUUGAUUCACAUCUCAUACGUAAGGAUAACUGGUACAAUAAAUACUAACCAGGCCUUUUGUGUUUUGUGAAGCUGAACAGGUGCCCUGUAUGAUGAUCUCUUUCAACUUCGAGUACCUGUUGCAUUCAGGAUGAGGCUGACUUAUGAUUGAAGUUAGAAAGUUGAUGACCUGUCAGAUAGCUGAGGACAUGCAUAUGUGAUCCUAUUUGACUAUAUUUUGGUUUUGUACAGAUGAAAUCAGAUUUUGUAUAUAUGUAUAUGUCCCGACUUAGUGAAGUGAUUGGGACCCACAUAGGAUUAGCUGAAGUUGCAUCUGUUUUUUUUUUUUUUUUGUACCAGUUCAGGCAUAUGUUAUUAGAACUUCUGUUGCAUCAAUGUAAAUGAUAAUUAUUACU